UCACUACUCUUGCACUUUGUUAACAUACCACUCCACUUUUGUUAUACAUCCCUCAUGCUGAAGGACUCCUGACUUCGUGAAGCUGAUUAUCUUCCUGUUUCUCUGGUUAUGAGGAUCACGCGUCCACUAUUUGACCUAAUUGAGCUAUACUUUCUAAUUGAUGACCAAGUUAUUCUUGUGAUUCUCAAAAUAAUUGCCUUAAUUUUGAAAGAAGGCCUCAACGUGGUCACCAAAUGUCUCACCACUCUACCGAUUUCUCAGAUGUUUUUUUCUUCUAACUUUAGUCCUUUGAUUCAAUGUCCUUGCUUACGCUGGAUUUUAAGAUCAGGCUGAAAAUUCCACCAGCAUGUCAUAUCACUAGAACCAACAAAAAAUGUAUACGUAUAUAAAACAAACAAACAACACAUAUUUAAAAUACAAAGGGAAAAAGGACACUCCAUUUAAUUAAAAUGAAAGAUAGAAGGGUUUGAACAUAAACGACAAAGGGACAAAACAAGAUAGAUCCUGAACUAGAAUCCUAAAAUAAUUCGGAUAACAGAAAAUAAAACAAAACAAGCUACCAAACCCCUUCCUAGUAAGGAGGGGAGUGACUUCCCAAUUGCUAAGCUUGACAUCUUAGCCAUUGGUUUCCAUAUCAGCAUGACUAGAGCUUUCCUCACUGUCAAUGUUCUGCACCAUAAUUGAUUUAUCUUGAAUCAUUGUUUUAAUUUCUCUUUUCAAAGCAGGACAAUCUUCAAUACUGUGACCUUGAACAUCAUAAUGAUAUGCAUAUCGUACAUUAGGAUCAAAACUUCUUAAAUGCGGGUCAGAAGUAUACCCAAGGAGAGGAGUGAUCAUGCCCCACUGUACCAAUCUCUAGAAUAAACUGGCAUACGACUCUCCAAUUGGUGUGAAACUAUCCCUCAACUUCUACCUCAUUUCAUUGUUUGGCUUGGGCCAAAAAUUUGGCCUAGAAGUGCUUUGGUAUGUUUGUGGAUUUGGAGGAUGACUCUGAGGAGCUGGUGCACGCUAUUAUGGGUAAGAAGAUGAUUGAACAUAUGGUUAUGCAUUGUAUACUGGAUAUGAAGGUGGGGGAAUAGAGUAUAAUGGAUUUUAGGAGUGAUUCUGUAGACCUUGGGUAUAAACUUGGAUUUGACCCUGAGGGUAACGACGACGUGGUCUUCUUAAUCGUGUCUGUUGUCCAACUACAAUUGUAGCUACAUCUUCCUCAUUCUUUUUCCCUCCAACAUUUUCUGAACCCUUUUGAAUUGCUUGAGUAGUUGCUUUCAAGGUUGCAAAACUCAUAAUGUGACCCGUCUUAGUUCCAUCCUCUAUCAUCUCCCCCAUUUUGAGGACCUUAAUAAAUGGCUUGCCUAAUGCAUAUAACAUGCGUUGAUAAUAUGUUUCAUCCUGUGCUUGAAUAAAUACCUUCACUAUCUUGCUUUUUUUUAUUAGUGGUUUCAACCUAGCAGCUUGUUCAUGUCAUCUAAUCGCAUACUCUCUGAAACUCUCAGUAUUCUUCUUCUUCAUACUGGUUAGGGAUUUUUCGUCAGAGAUCAUAUCCACAUUAUAUUAGAAUUAUUGCACAAAUUCAUUAGCUAAAUCAUCCCAACUAUUCCACCUAUCAAUAUCCUGAUCAACAAACUACUAUGAGGCUAGACCCGAAAGACUUUCACCAAAGUAAGCCAUGAGCAGUUCUUUUUUGGCUUCAACACCUCUUAAUUGGUUACAAUAACGUCUCAAACACGCCACCAGAUCCCCGUGUCCAUCAUACUUCUCAAACUUUGGCAUCUUAAAACCAAAAAAGAGAUUAAUUCCUGAAAACAUGCACAGAUCUUUAUAUGAGACACUUUUGUAACCCCCGAGUCCUUGGAAGUUCUUCAUAGCCAAUUUUAAACUUCUCAAUUUUCUGGUCAUUUCCUCUUGUUCUUCCAUCAUGACAGGCUUUUCAGUGUUAAGAGGAAAUUCAGGCGGGUGAAUGUAGCCAUAAGGAUCAGUCAACUUAAAUGUGGGCUCAAUAGCAUGAUGUUUAUCAGCAAAAAUAUUCAAUACAAGGCUCUCUCGCAGAGUGGGGAGGCACAACCGGUGAUAAACCUCAAAAGUAGGAGCUUCAGGUGGGGGUUCUGCUGCAAAAGCAUGAACAGUGGGUGGAGUCGAGCAUAUGGUAGUUUUGUGUUGAGGAGCGAGGAAAUACAUAUUGGAAGUGUUUGGAUAGUGUUGCCCUGGAGUAGAUCCUGAUGCAUGUUAUAGCGUGUCAACGACAAUAGAAAAAUGUCCAUGUCACACUAGAGGUAAGCUAGAAAGAUAUUCCAGAUUAUCAGUGGGAAAUGGAGGAGGCGGCAAACCAUUAGCCCAAGCUCGAUGCAUUUCUAUCAUUUGCUGCCUUAAUUUUUGAAUCUCUUCAUUAGCUUCUAAAUGCCCAUUCCCCCAACUCCUUAUUUGAUUAGUGACCAUAACCCCGGUAUUCCUGUUGGUCAUAACUUUCUCUUCGACUUGGUGCAAUGUGGAGGACCAGCCAGAAUGACACAAACCAACCACCUUAAACUAACUGAACAAGAGAUAACAAAUGUAUUAGAGUUCAACACUUUUUCAAAACUUCUUUUUCGUUCUUUUCUUUUUUCUUUUGAAAAGAUCACCGAACCCUAGAAGGGUGCCUACGUAUCUCACUCCCGAGAGAGGAGAAUCAGGUGUGCAUAGUUCGUGAAAUUUUGGCACAUCAUAGCCGAUCAAACUCUCUUUUCUUUUGAAACCCUAAAAGAAAAUAACAAGGUGUCACAAGAAUUGACGAAAAUCUUUUUUGAAUUUUUCAGCUUUAAACUCCCUAUACAAAAUGAAACAUAUGAUUACCAAAGAAAAAUCUUUUUGGAUUUUCAAUUUUGAAUUUCAUAUGAAAAUGGAACUUGAAACUAUUAAAGGAAAAUCUUUUUAUGGUUUUAUUUUAGAGAUGUAUAUGACACCUACUCUAAAUGAAGAGUAAAGAAAAUCUUUUUGAAUUUUUCAGAUUAUUACAAAAUGAAACCUAUGAUUACCAAGGAAAAAUCUUUUUGGGUUUUCAAUUUUGAAUUUCAUAUGAAAAUGGAACUUGAAACUAUUAAAGGAAAAUCUUUUUGUGAUUUUCUUUUAGAGAUGUAUAUGAAACCUACUCUAAAAAAAAAUUUUAAUUUUUUUAAAUAAGAUCACCGAACCCAAAAAGGGCUGCCUACGUAUCACCCCCAAAAGAGGAGAAUCAGGUGUGUGUAGUUUAUUCAGAUUGGACAAAUAAGGAUUAAAUAAAAAAUUGACCCUAACUUCAGAGACACGACCAAAGCCAGACAAUGAACAACAUCAAUAAAAAAUUUGGGGGGGAUUUAAUUAAACACUUCACAUAAAACUGACACCAAUAACUAUGAAAGAAAAAUAUUUUUUUAGUAUUUUUGUUAUAUUAAAUGUACAAAACUUCUAUCAUCUUUUUUUUUUGAAUUUUUCGUUUAUAAAAAACUCUUAUUGAAAAAAAAUCUUUUUGAAGUUUUCGAAUUGUGAAUGUUUGCUCAAGGAAAAAAGGAAAAUCUUUUUGAUGUUUUUGUUUUUUUGAGAAAGUGAGUGCAAAAGGUAAAUAAUCUUUUUGAAUUUUUGGAUUGUGUGAAACAAAAGCCAUAAAGAACACUAAAAAAAAACUACGAAACUCUUUUUUUCUCGACUCACUUUUUUUUUUUGAACUUUUCCUUGCCUACACACUUUUCUUUAAUUCUAGCACAUGUUUUCCCCAAAUCAGUUCAUUGAAUGAUCCUGUAACCAUCAAAUAUGCAACAAUUAGCACAUACGGAUGUUUUAAGAGUGAGUCUCCUACAAAGGACCAAGUGGGUCCCACUAGGUCUUAAUAUGAUGCAGAUAAGCAUGACCUAAAGGCUGAUCUAUGUUGGGAUUCUCUAACAAGGUUGUUAGGGGAGCAUAUGGUCGAUAGUGGUUGCGAUAACUUUCCACCCACUCCAUACCAGCCGACGGCUCCUCCUCCUAAAAUAAGGGUGACUCAACUAGAGGUUGUGUACACAGUGUGUACUACAGAACUUGUUGCAGAAAAAAUUAACUUGGGUUAUGCAAAUGAAGCCAAAUAUAAAGCGGUACCACAUAAGAGAAAAGACUGUAAACACGUAGCAAGUAGGCACUCAACAAUGAUAAAACAAAUACAAACAAUAACACAAGCAACGUCUAUACACUCAUAAUGUCAAAUAAGUCAAUAUAACUUCAAAAAUAAGCUCGAAUUCUGAAAUUCCUCAGCAGAGUCGUCAGAGCUGUCACACCCCUUUUUGAACCAAAAAGAUUAAUUUUUAGGUUUGAAAGGAUUUUUAUUAUUAAAUAACAAAAGAUAAAAUUAUUUCAAAAAGGAUUCAUUUUUUACAAUUAGCUCAGAGUCGUUACUUGGCAUAAUCGGAUGUGCAAGUCACCCUUAGAAAUCCUUUUUCAAAAAAAUAUUUUUGACUCUAAAACUUAUCCGCGAAUAAAGAUUCCGGCUAAGGAAUUCUGUUGACCGAGGGGAAGGUGUUAGGCACCCCUCGAUCCCGUGGUUCGACCACGGUCACUCUGUAGAGUAUAUCGGCUAGUAUGAACAUUAUGACUGUAUAAACCAACAAACACAUAAACACGAAACAAACAAACAAAAUCAAAAUUAAUGUCCAAUCUAAUUUAUUACAAACCCAAAAUAAAAAGGUACUGAAAUGUAAACCUACGCUAACCUAAACUAGUCCUACACUACACUUCAAUGCUUUACCCGAUGCCUCGGACCUUGACCACGAGCCUCCUUUGCAUACAUGAUACUUUGGGGCAUUCCCCAGUGAAUAAAUACAAAUGACUUCUGGGCAUUCCCCGGCUAAAUGAAUAUAUUUUUUCAAUGCUAGAAGACCAAAAUCAUUCAACAAUAUUUCAAACAUUCAAUAACUCAUAAUUUCUAAAUUUGUCUACCCCUAGCAUUUGCCUACCCAUUUAACGACCUAAUCAUGAUACUACUACAUUCGAGAAGGUUAAUAAACAUUUCAAAUUAAUUCAAUCGACGAACCAAAAUUAAUUCGAGUUCACUUUAUCAAGAUCAAUCCCUCCCCAAAUUCCUUUUAUACGUCAAAUUUUCACACAAAGCAAUUAUCCAAACUCAUGCUAACAUCAAAUUCGUACCAUGAUUAAUUAUUCACGAAUAAAUAAUAUCAAACAUCAACAAGAUCAUCCAAUGACAACCAUCAACACACAAUCAUAACAUCAAUAUAUCAAAUGAAAAUAAAGCGAAAAGAGAGAGUUGAAGAAUUGUACCUCAAUGCCGCUUUCAUUCAAACAUUACUCAAUUAAACGAGACAAAAUCCACGCCGAGAACCUCGACUCAAACCUCAAAUCAAAGUCCCAAAUUGAUAUUGUCGAAGUACACCCGAUUCUGUUUCUCACUAACUAAACCAAAACUCAUGAGAGAAAGACAAAAUUCCUGCCAGAACAGUGAAGUUGAAUCGGAUUAUGGUCGCUUUCCAAUGGGUGGAUGAUGGUCGACGAGCCGAUGGGAUUUUCAACGAAAGCUCACCGGCUGUUCACCAAAAAUUGAGCUGGGCCUCACCUAAAUAUGCGAAUUUGGUCAGUUUUGAGGCCUUUGGUCGCUGGUUUUGAAAGCUUAGGGGGUCGGAACUGGUUUUCCGGUGGGUUUGCGCCGCUGGAUAGGUUGUUUUCAAUGGCGAUUUCAGCAGCUCUCAAGUGAAAAUUCGUCGGAGAAGUGCCUCCUCUUCUCGAUUUUUCUCUCGCUGACCCCUGAUCUCGAUCUCUCUCUUCCCCUCUCCUCAAUUCACUCUUUGUUUCAGUCCCUUUUAGUGUAUGUGAGAGAAUUAUUGUGCGUGUAUGAAGUAGUAUUUAUGGUCUCCGUUCCAGUGAGUCCUUUUUUGUGUAUUGUGUGUGUAUGUGCUUUUUCUGUGAGUUUUCUUUGGAAGAUAAGAAAAUGGAGACCCCUUUCCGGUAUAUGUGAGUAUGUGCGUGAAUUUGAGAGUGACGGUGAGAUUUCUAUGAGUGAGUGGAAAUUUUUCUAGAGAAUGUGUAUUGUUUCCCUGUGGGUCCCGCUUCUCUUUUGUGUGUGAUGAAUGUG
rnacentral:lncRNA from 1 species